UAGGAUUCUAACCCAUGAUUAAUUACAAAAUUCAUGUGAAUUAAAUAGCAUGUGUGUAGUAUUAUGCAGUUUUAUGUUGGAAACCCUUGAAUUUGUGAGUUUGGAAUUGUGAUCAUGAUGCUUGCAUAUUGACUAGUAUUAUAUGCAUAAACUACGCCCCCCUCCAAGUGUUUGAUAAAAUGUUCAUGUGAUUUGAGUAGUGAAAUCAUAUCAUGUUAGCAUGUAUACAAGCUUAUACCAUUCAAGUGCUUGAUAAAAUGCCUCAAAGAAUGAAUUGUGACAAAGUGUCUAGUUAUCAUGCUUUCAAGAUUAUGCUAUAUUUUACAAUUUACGUAAUUGAGUCCUAGGGAUAUCUAAUACCCGACAAUCUAGCUAUUUACCUAGACUUACAGUAGUUACAGAAUAGUCUAAGUAGUAUCACAAACAGUAGUACUCAGUCUAGUUCAAUCAGUUAACAGAACUUAGUGAACUUAGUUCAGUUAGACAACACGAUUAGUAACAGUUUAGCCAAGCCUAGAACAGUCUAGAAAUCAGUUUAGUGUAUAUUCAAUUGGGAGUAAGAAUCAGCAUUGAGUGAACCCAGGGAUGGGGGUAUUCCUGUUAGAAAAAGGUUUGACCCUUAGUAGCAAUCUCUGCGUUACAGAACUACGUAGCCAACGUAGGUUGAGAUAUCUUUUUGCCAGACUAGGGUUGAUAAAUCUCUUACAAGUUUUCCUGCCAGCAAGGGUUGACGAAAUAUCUUCCUACCAGAGAAGGUUAACUCACAACUAUUGUUAGUAUUCCUUGGCAAGGUGCUAACACCCUUCCAACUGGGGUCACAAGUUGGGCCCUAACUCAGUUUAAAAUCGAGGUGUGUUAAUUAGAUGAACACUCCCACAGUUACAGUUUCAGUUUCAGACUCAGUAUAAAAACCUUUGUUCAAUUUUAGAAUCAGGACUGUCAGAUACAGUCACCCAAAUUAGCACAGAACUCAGUUCAGUUCCACAGAAUCAGGACUAUCAGAAAUAGUCACCCAGUUGUCUGUAAUUCAAUUAUCAGUGAUCUUAGUUUCAAUAUUAGUAGAUUUAUACGUAGCAUUGCAUAGUUAGUAAUUACAAUAAUUUUAGAUAUACAUGUACUCUCAUUCAGUUAUAUUCAUAUUAUUCUUCAUGCAUAUCAGCCUACCUCACUUAGCAUACCAGUACAUUCAAAGUACUGAUGCAUACUUUUCUUUUGCGCUAUGAUAUCUUAUAUCGUAGGUUCAGACGCAUGGGCUCCUAACAGUACUUAGUAGCCUAGAUUUUCAGCAGUAAAUAAAGUGGUUUGAUGCAUUUCUAGUGAGAUGUUCCAUCGUCGGAACAACGACAAUGGCGGUAGACUGCUGCAGCUAAUUUUGGCAGCAGGUUUAUGAAUUUUGGGUGGUUGAUGAGGCAGGUUCCAGCGUCGCCCAGUGGAUAUUACUUUGAUGAUGGGAUUGUAUUACCGGUGGAGAUGCAUUUUUGAAAAAUAGGUACAAACAAGCAAUUGUGACCACAAAGUUCUUCUUAUCAGGUAUGUUCUAUACUGACAUAAGCAUAGGUUGUCUAAGUUGAAAUAGUUGAGCAUACCUAUUCCUUACACUUUAUCCUCCCCUUGUCGUAUAAAGAUGACGAAUUGAUUGACCAAACUUUCUUUGAUUCUCUCCAAAUGGUUGUGCACAAAUGAGUUAAUCCUACACCAGAAAUUCCUUCUUCUCUCUCAAUCAAAAUAUCAGUUUUGUACUAUGAAUUUGCCAAGCUUGAUCAUCAAUCAUAUGAAGCAUAUGUUUCUGAAGAAUGAAAAGGGAUAUGCUCUCCCUUUUAGUUCCUAAUUGGCUCAGAUCUUUUAGGAUUUCUCAGUCCUAGUUUAGGUUAGACUUUUCAAACAACAAUGGAUGUUUUUGAACAGAUGAAUCAUGCUGUUCUACCUGGUUCAAUAAGGAGGGCUAAAACUCAUUGCAAAGAAAAAAUGAUAAGAAAAAUGAUUUAGCCGAGAUAAAUUCUGAACUAAAAGCUGCAUCUGAUAGUCAUGAAGCGGAAUAAGUGGUCCUUCAGGCUAGGAUCGUGACUUUGAAGCUUGACCUUGAUUGAGAAAGGGAUGAAAUGUUGAAGUCUUUCAUCAAUUGACACAGUUGAUAACACUUGUUCCACCUUCCUCAUCAGCUCCUCACUAUUUAUCCUUAGUCAUGUCCCACUUUUAUACCAUUUUUUUUAUUAAUGCUUAGUUAUUUUGCUUUGUUCAGUACUAGCUUAGGUCUAAUGUGGAAUAUGCUCUGGCAGUUAAAUGUAAUAGUUAUCUUUGCUAAAUUGACUCAUAUGUUUGCUCUCUUUAAUACAUUACUAUGUUGGUUAAAGUCUUUGUCUAGUUGUUUUGGUGAUAGCCCCAGUAGCCAUGAAUAGCAUAACAAAUCAAUUUGGCUAGUCUAUUAUUGCAUUGAAAUGAUUUUGAUAAUGCCAAAAGGGGGAAGAAAAGAGGGUUGUGCAAUGUUUAUAACCCAUUGACUAACUUGUUUCAUUCUAGUGUUUUAUACUUUAGUGCCUACAGGUGAAGAUGUUUGAAUGCAUAAAGACAAGAGGUUUGUUAUCAUCAAAAAGGGGAAAUUUGUUGGAACCUUGAAGUUUUGAUGAAUGACAAUAUGAAUGAAACAAGUUGAUAUACGUGUUCCACUGAUCCGACAAGUUCAAGAGUGCAGUCUACGGUAUAAAUAAUUAAAAAUCAGAAUGAGUUAAAUCAGUGCAAAUGAAAACUUCAACUUACUGAUCACGUGGGGAAUAGAAAAAGAUGAAUUUGAUUCAAACACUUGAUGAUAAGGGAAAGCAAGUUGAAUUGAAAAAAGAGUCCUAUCUGAAGAAGUAGUUUCACUUCUGAGCAUAUCCUUAUGUAAAACGUACAAUUUGAAGGACUCUUUGGAGAGUUGGAGUUUGACUACAACACUAAGGAGACAAGAGUUGGAAUUGAAGAAGGAGUCUCACUUGAAGUAGAACUCUAUGCAAUGAGAGUUCUGAUUGAAGGGGGAGUUUGAAAUAAAGAAUGACUCUUUGAAGAGCUGUGCUUAAAUAGAAGAUGCAUCAGUCAGAAUAAACUACAUACUUAAAAAGCAGAAAAGAACAAUCAACUGAUUGACUUCACGAAGUGUCACUCAAUCACUGAAGAAACACAUUGAAGAACAUGGUCCUAAGUGUAGAAUCUAACUAAGAGUUUUAGCGUUGAUUUUUAGAGUUGUUCAUUGUGUUUGAAAUAUUGAUGUAAUAUUAGUUUCAGUGUGUUAUAAACUAAACUAGGAGCUAGUCUUCGAGUUGGGAAAAACUCAGAGACUUUGGGAACACGUACCUUGGGAGGUGUGUGUAGUUAGGAAUUAGAGUUUAUAACUCCUAGUCGUUGAGCUAAAGGAAUUAGAGUUUAUAAUUCCUAUUUGUUGGUUACAAGGGUUUUGUAAUCAGUCGCUGUUGAGGCUCAGAGUUAUUUAGUGAAGUUGGGGUUAAAUCCUGUAGAGGAGUUAUUUAGUGAAGUUGGGGUUAAAUCCUGUAGAGGUGCAGGUCGUGAUUUUUUACACCUUUUUGAGCCGGGUGUUUUCCACGUAAAAA